UACAGAGGUGGCAAGCGUUGUCCGGAAUUAUUGGGCGUAAAGAGCUCGUAGGCGGUUUGUCGCGUCUGCUGUGAAAACCUAAGGCUCAACCUUGGGCUUGCAGUGGGUACGGGCAGACUAGAGUGCGGUAGGGGUGACUGGAAUUUACGGUGUAGCAGUGAAAUGCGUAGAUAUCGUAAGGAAGACCAGUGGCGAAGGCGGAUCUCUGGACAGUUACUGACACUGAGGCACGAAGGCCAGGGGAGCAAACGGG
rnacentral:rRNA from 1 species